rnacentral:lncRNA from 1 species
UCCUUUCUCUCUCCGUCCGCUCCAGUAUCUCAGUUUAUCCUAAAGCUGGUGCCAUUGAAACCUUAUUUUUCUUUAAAACUAAAUGUCGCAAAUAGAAGGAGAGAGCAGCAACACUGGUUGCUAGUUUGGUUGUUGUUGGUGAUUGGUUCCAUGAAAGAGAAAAGGGCAUUGAUUUUAAUGAUUGAUUGGAAAAUCCAUAAACUCUAAUUUGUUAAUACUGCAUCCAUUACUGAGUUGAAAAAUUACGAGUUUUUAGAAUUGAAAUUGCUAGUUUUUUAAUGAGUGGUUAGAAUUGGAAUUUAAAGGUUGUCACCGC